rnacentral:tRNA from 1 species
GGUUAUGGCUCAGUGGUAGCGUGCUUGCCUAGCAUGUGUGAGACACUGAGUUCAAUUCUCAGCACCA